GCCAGCCCGCUCAGAAACUUAAAGGAAUUGACGGGGCCCGCACAAGCGGAGGAGCAUGUGGUUAAUUCGAUGAUACGCGAGGAACCUUACCUGGGCUCGAACGUAAGAUGACUGUAGGUGAAAGCUUACAUCUCUUCGGAGCAUUUUACGAGGUGCUGCAUGGUUGUCGUCAGCUCGUGCCGUGAGGUGUCGGGUUAAGUCCCAUAACGAGCGCAACCCCUACCUUUAGUUGCCAUCAGGUAAUGCUGGGGACUCUAAAGGAACUGCCUACGCAAGUAGUGAGGAAGGCGGGGAUGACGUCAAAUCAGCACGGCCCUUACGUCCAGGGCUACACACGUGCUACAAUGGCCGAUACAGAGGGCAGCUACCUGGUGACAGGAUGCAAAUCUCCAAAGUCGGCCUCAGUUCGGAUCGGAGUCUGCAACCCGACUCCGUGAAGUUGGAUUCGCUAGUAAUCGCGCAUCAGCCAUGGCGCGGUGAAUACGUUCCCGGGCCUU
rnacentral:rRNA from 1 species